GUGCUCGCUUCGGCAGCAUAUAUACUAAAAUUGGAACGAUACAGAGAAGAUUAGCAUGGCCCCUGCUCAAGAAUGAAACACAAAUUCGUGAAGCGUUCCAUAUUUUU
ensembl:snRNA U6 U6 spliceosomal RNA